UUUGUGUGUUUGUUCUCCCACACUUGCUGAGUGUGUAAGCCUUCUCAUUUCCUUCUAGUACAAACACACUCAUUUCUGCAGUUGUUUGAAAGAAAAUAUAAGAUUGUUUUUAUAAAGUAUUUACAAUGUUGAGUGACAUACCAGUAAAGUAAAGUUUCCCUUUCAUACCUUGCAAUCUAUGGGGCAGAUGAUGUUAAAGUCAUCUGUUUCUAUGGCCUUUGAUUUAUGAGCAUGGUGUUAUGUGGCCAGCACAAUGAUCAACUGCCUUUACUUUCCCCAACUUAAGUCAGGCACCCAUUAGAGUUGGGUGGACUCAGGGGCGC